rnacentral:lncRNA from 1 species
UGCUGCCCCAUAACUUGAUCUCAAAGCCUGCUGUUUUUUUUAUUUUUUUUUUAUGUUUUAUCUUUUUGCAGUUAUUUUUAUUUUUUAUGUAGCCAUUUAUUUCUUUUGCUUAUGCAUUACCUUUGCUAUAGCUGCAUGCAGUCUUUUGUUUGUGCUUAUAGUGUUAAGUUUGCAUGUGCUACUCUGAUAUAAAUACUAUGUGCUACUAUAUAUGUGCUGAUAUUAGACAUUUGUUUUAAUAUAUCUUGCUUAGCUUUUAUUCUGCAUGUGCUAUUUAUGCAUUAAUAUAGAAUGAAAUUCAAAACAGUGUGGCUGUGGCCAUUGAUUGACACAUUAAAUUCAUCCACUGACUGAGACAAUUUAGGUGAACGUUUGUAUGUAACGACCACUGCUCACUAUGUACUUUUU